GUUGUCAUGGCCGAGUGGUUAAGGCGAUGGACUUGAUAUCUUUUGGGAUCUUCCCGCGCAGGUUCGAAUCCUGCCGACACCG
rnacentral:tRNA from 1 species